AGCAGUAGCCACGGUAAUACGUAGGUCCCGAGCGUUGUCCGGAUUUAUUGGGCGUAAAGCGAGCGCAGGCGGUUUGAUAAGUCUGAAGUUAAAGGCUGUGGCUCAACCAUAGUUCGCUUUGGAAACUGUCAAACUUGAGUGCAGAAGGGGAGAGUGGAAUUCCAUGUGUAGCGGUGAAAUGCGUAGAUAUAUGGAGGAACACCGGUGGCGAAAGCGACUCUCUGGCUUGUAACUGACGCUGAGGCUCGAAAGCGUGGGGAGCAAACAGGAUUAGAUACCCGUGUAGUCCCUGUCUCUUAUACA
rnacentral:rRNA from 1 species